CGACCCCAGGUCAGGCGGGACUACCGGCUGAGUUUAAGCAUAUAAAUAAGCGGAGGAGAAGAAACUUACAAGGAUUCCCCUAGUAACGGCGAGCGAACCGGGAGCAUCCCAGCUUGAGAAUCGGGCGGCUGUGCCGUCUGAAUUGUAGUCUGGAGAGGCGUCCUCAGCGACGGACCGGGCCCAAGUCCCCUGGAGAGGGGCGCCUGGGAGGGUGAGACCCCCGUCCGGCCCGGACCUUGUCGCCCCACGAGGCACCGUCAAUGAGUCGGGUUGUUUGGGAAUGCAGCCCAAAUCGGGCGGUAGACUCCGUCCAAGGCUAAAUACAGGCGAGAGACCGAUAGCGAACAAGUACCGCGAGGGAAAGAUGAAAAGGACUUUGAAAAGAGAGUCAAAGAGUGCUUGAAAUUGCCGGGAGGGAAGCGGAUGGGGGCCGAUGAUGCGCCCCGGCCAUAUGCGGAACGGCUCUUGCUGGUCUGCCACUCGGUUCGGGGUGUGGACUGUUGUCGGCUGCGCCGGCGGCCAAAGCCCGGGGGCCCUAGGUGCCCCCGGUGGCCGUCGUCGGCACAGCCGGUACCCGCACGCCGAAAGGCGUGUCCCUCGAGGCACUGCGCUGCAACGGCCUGCGGGCUCCCCAUCCGACCCGUCUUGAAACACGGACCAAGGAGUCUGACAUGCGUGCGAGUCGAUGGGUUCUGAAACCUGGGAUGCGCAAGGAAGCUGACGAGCGGGAGGCCCUCACGGGCCGCACCGCUGGCCGACCCUGAUCUUCUGUGAAGGGUUUGAGUUGGAGCACGCCUGUCGGGACCCGAAAGUUGGUGAACUAUGCCUGAGCGGGGCGAAGCUAGAGGAAACUCUGGUGGAGGCUCGAAGCGAUACUGACGUGCAAAUCGUUCGUCUGACUUGGGUAUAGGGGCGAAAGACUAAUCGAACCAUCUAGUAGCUGGUUCCCUCUGAAGUUUCCCUCAGGAUAGCUGGAGCCCAUUACGAGUUCUAUCAGGUAAAGCCAAUGAUUAGAGGCAUCGGGGACGCAACGUCCUCGACCUAUUCUCAAACUUUAAAUAGGUAGGAUGGCGCGACUGCUUCGGUGAGCCGUGCCACGGAAUCGGGUGCUCCAAGUGGGCCAUUUUUGGUAAGCAGAACUGGUGAUGCGGGAUGAACCGGAAGCCGGGUUACGGUGCCCAACUGCGCGCUAACCUAGAACCCACAAAGGGUGUUGGUCGAUUAAGACAGCAGGACGGUGGUCAUGGAAGUCGAAAUCCGCUAAGGAGUGUGUAACAACUCACCUGCCAAAUCAACUAGCCCCGAAAAUGGAUGGCGCUGAAGCGCGCGACCCACACCCGGCC
rnacentral:ncRNA from 1 species